rnacentral:rRNA from 1 species
AGAGUUUGAUCAUGGCUCAGGACGAACGCUGGCGGCGUGCCUAAUACAUGCAAGUAGAACGCUGAAGAAAGGAGCUUGCUUCUUUUGGAUGAGUUGCGAACGGGUGAGUAACGCGUAGGUAACCCGCCUUGUAGCGGGGGAUAACUAUUGGAAACGAUAGCUAAUACCGCAUAACAGCUUUUGACACAUGUUAGAAGCUUGAAAGAUGCAAUUGUAUCACUACGAGAUGGACCUGCGUUGUAUUAGCUAGUAGGUAGGGUAACGGCCUACCUAGGCGACGAUACAUAGCCGACCUGAGAGGGUGAUCGGCCACACUGGGACUGAGACACGGCCCAGACUCCUACGGGAGGCAGCAGUAGGGAAUCUUCGGCAAUGGGGCAACCCUGACCGAGCAACGCCGCGUGAGUGAAGAAGGUUUUCGGAUCGUAAAGCUCUGUUGUAAGAGAAGAACGUGUGUGAGAGUGGAAAGUUCACACAGUGACGGUAACUUACCAGAAAGGGACGGCUAACUACGUGCCAGCAGCCGCGGUAAUACGUAGGUCCCGAGCGUUGUCCGGAUUUAUUGGGCGUAAAGCGAGCGCAGGCGGUUUAAUAAGUCUGAAGUUAAAGGCAGUGGCUUAACCAUUGUUCGCUUUGGAAACUGUUAAACUUGAGUGCAGAAGGGGAGAGUGGAAUUCCAUGUGUAGCGGUGAAAUGCGUAGAUAUAUGGAGGAACACCGGUGGCGAAAGCGGCUCUCUGGUCUGUAACUGACGCUGAGGCUCGAAAGCGUGGGGAGCAAACAGGAUUAGAUACCCUGAUAGUCUACGCCGUAAACGAUGAGUGCUAGGUGUUAGGCCCUUUCCCGGGCUUAGUGCCGCAGCUAACGCAUUAGCACUCCGCCUGGGGAGUACGACCGCAGGUGAAACUCAAAGGAAUUGACGG